rnacentral:lncRNA from 1 species
UAGAGACGGGGUUUCACCGUGUUAGCCAGGAUCGUCUGGAUCUCCUGACCUCGUGAUCCACCCGCCUUGGCCUCCCAAAGUGCUAGGAUUACAGGCGUGGGACACCGUGCCCAGCCCAGGUCCUUGUGCCCUUCGAGGGUGCAGACGGUGGUCUCUGCAUCUCCUUUGCUCCACGUGCCAGGCACAGGUGCCUGGGAACUACAGAAGAGGUUGAAUAGAAGGCUUAACAAUGAGUUUGGAAGUCAGGCACAGAGGGUUUGACUUCCGGGGGCACCCCUUGCCAGCUGUAUGACCCUGGCAAGUCACUCUUCCUUUCUGCGCCUUGGUCCCUGCAUCUAUAAAUUGCUGUAAGGAUGAAAUUACAUAAUUAUAGGUAACAAGAGGAUUCAGAAUCUGAGAGAUACUGCUUAAAAGGAAAAUGUCCUGGAGGGAUGCCAAACUGCACUCUCAAAGGUUUCGGCUGGAUGUGUGAUAUUGAUGGGGAAACCCAUUUCAGUGUCUCUAAGAAGGGGGUAGUGCUCCUCUUUCCAGGAUGUCUCUGGGGAAUCUAGAGCACCCCAAAGUGUGGUAUGCAUAGAAACAUUGCUGCUUAAGGUCUGAAUAUUUGUUCCUCAUCAAUUCAUGUGUUGAAAUUCUAACCUCUCCUGAAUGGGAUUAGUGCUCUUACACGAGAGGCCUGACAGAGACUCCUCACCCUUCCCACCAUGCGAAGACACAGUGAGAAGGCUCAGUCUAUGAACCAAAAUGUUGACUGUCACCAUUUACUCAAUCUGCUGUCGCCUUGAGCUUGGACUUCCCAGCCUCCAGAACUGUGAGAAAUAAAUUUCUGUUGCUUAUAAGACAACCAGUUUAUGACAUUUCGUUAUAGCAGCCUGAAUGGACUAAGACACCCUUCCCACCAUGUGAAGACAGAGUGAGAAGGUUCGGUCUAUGAACCAAAAACUGACCCUCACCAGUCAUUGAAUCUGCUGGUGCCUUGAUCUUGGACUUCCCAGCCUCCAGAACUGUGAGAAAUAAAUUUCUGUCGUUUAUAAGCCACCUAGUUUAUGAUACUUUGUUAUAGCAGCCUGAAUGGACUGAGACACCCACCUUAAAAAGACAGUACCUCAAAACCAUAAGGCAGGAUAACUGCUAGCCUGAUAUUAAUAGUUUUUAAUUUACUGCUAGCUUCAUUUUGCCAACUGAGUCAGAUAUUUUUUAAAAGUUCUGUUUGCAAUUAUUUUAACUUAGGAGAGGAGAAAAAGAGCAGGCAUCAGCCUGCAUAUGGGAUAUUUCUGAAAGGAUUUUGCUAUGAUUAGCUUGCCCUCAGGGAGAGUAAAAUGUGAGUUAUACAACCAUGCUUAUAUUUAGAUGUUGUUGAUGUUCUGGCUUAUAAUAUAUGAUGAGUUAGAAAUAAUUUUGUACUGAUCAGCCCAACCAGAAAAUAAACAUGCUUUAACUUGUAUUUAUUACUAAACUUGGUCUCCUAAAACAUGAUAAAGCAGUUGAGUCUAUAAUGACUGAGCCAUAGCUUCUCUGACUGACUCUAAGAGGGAAUGACGUUAAUAAGAGAUUAGCCCAUACCUCUAAUAGCCCUGGGAGAGAUGAACCCAAGACGGCAAGGCCCAGCUCUGAUGGAUGAAGGGACAGAGAACUAUAAGAAGACUGGGUUCCAUCUAGGAUGGGUGGCCUGUUGAGUGCCCAUCUUAUCUGCUUAGAUGAUGAUACUUGGAGACCUGACUCAAUUGUUGUGAAUGGUCUUUGUAAAAUUUUAUUUUAGAGACAGGGUCUUGCUAUGUUGCCCAGGCUGGUCUCAAACACCUGGGCUCAAGUGAUCCUCCUGCCUCAGCCUCCUGAGUAGCUGGAACUGCAAGUGAUUACUCUUAUUGAACAAACAAACAAAAACAAGUGCCUGUGACCUAAUAGAGAUGCAUGCAUAUGUUCACCAAAAGAUCUAGAAUGUCCACAACAGCCCUAUUUAUCAUCACCCCAAAUGGGGCACCCUGCACCUACCUCAACAGUAGAUGCAUACAUUUCUGUGUAUUUACACUGUGGAAUAUGACACAGCAAUGACAAUGAAUGAACUACAGCUAUACACAACAACAUGGAUGGCUAUCACAAACAUAAGGUAGAGCUAAAAGCGAAAAAAACCAGCAUAAAAGUGGGCAAAAGCCAUCUAUGUUGUUAAAAAUCAGGAUAGUGGCUGCCCUGGAAGGGGGCAUGAGGAGGCUUCAAGGUGCUUGUCAUGUUCUCUUUCUUCACU